UAAGGGUGGAUUAUUGGCGAACGGGUGAGUAACACGUGGGCAAUCUGCCCUUCACUCUGGGACAAGCCCUGGAAACGGGGUCUAAUACCGGAUACGACCUGCCGAGGCAUCUCGGCGGGUGGAAAGCUCCGGCGGUGAAGGAUGAGCCCGCGGCCUAUCAGCUUGUUGGUGGGGUAAUGGCCUACCAAGGCGACGACGGGUAGCCGGCCUGAGAGGGCGACCGGCCACACUGGGACUGAGACACGGCCCAGACUCCUACGGGAGGCAGCAGUGGGGAAUAUUGCACAAUGGGCGCAAGCCUGAUGCAGCGACGCCGCGUGAGGGAUGACGGCCUUCGGGUUGUAAACCUCUUUCAGCAGGGAAGAAGCGCAAGUGACGGUACCUGCAGAAGAAGCGCCGGCUAACUACGUGCCAGCAGCCGCGGUAAUACGUAGGGCGCAAGCGUUGUCCGGAAUUAUUGGGCGUAAAGAGCUCGUAGGCGGCUUGUCACGUCGGGUGUGAAAGCCCGGGGCUUAACCCCGGGUCUGCAUCCGAUACGGGCAGGCUAGAGUGUGGUAGGGGAGAUCGGAAUUCCUGGUGUAGCGGUGAAAUGCGCAGAUAUCAGGAGGAACACCGGUGGCGAAGGCGGAUCUCUGGGCCAUUACUGACGCUGAGGAGCGAAAGCGUGGGGAGCGAACAGGAUUAGAUACCCUGGUAGUCCACGCCGUAAACGUUGGGAACUAGGUGUUGGCGACAUUCCUCGUCGUCGGUGCCGCAGCU
rnacentral:rRNA from 2 species